AAAACGACUCUCGGCAACGGAUAUCUAGGCUCUCGCAUCGAUGAAGAACGUAGCGAAAUGCGAUACUUGGUGUGAAUUGCAGAAUCCCGCUAAUCAUCGAGUUUUUGAACGCAAGUUGCGCUCGAAGCCAUUCGGCCGAGGGCACGUCUGCCUGGGUGUCACGC
rnacentral:rRNA from 1 species